rnacentral:misc_RNA from 1 species
CCGAGUGGAGGGCGCCCCGGCGCCCGACCUCCCAACCCGUUGAUUUGAUCAAGACCUCUUCUGCCUCGGGGGCGACCCGGCCUCCCCCUCUCGCGGGAGGGGGGUGACCCGGUCCCCCCGGCGGUCCAACACACAACCCUGCAUCAAUUGUCGUCGGAUAUUGAAGCGAAUUCAAUCA